rnacentral:rRNA from 1 species
UACGUAGGGGGCAAGCGUUGUCCGGAAUCAUUGGGCGUAAAGAGCUCGUAGGCGGUUUGUCGCGUCUGCUGUGAAAACUGGGGGCUCAACCCCCAGCCUGCAGUGGGUACGGGCAGACUAGAGUGCGGUAGGGGAGAUUGGAAUUCCUGGUGUAGCGGUGGAAUGCGCAGAUAUCAGGAGGAACACCGAUGGCGAAGGCAGAUCUCUGGGCCGUAACUGACGCUGAGGAGCGAAAGCAUGGGGAGCGAACAGG